rnacentral:rRNA from 1 species
CAGCCGCCGCGGUAAUACGAAGGGGGCUAGCGUUGUUCGGAAUUACUGGGCGUAAAGCGCACGUAGGCGGACAUUUAAGUCAGGGGUAAAAUCCCGGGGCUCAACCCCGGAACUGCCUUUGAUACUGGGUGUCUAGAGUAUGGAAGAGGUGAGUGGAAUUCCGAGUGUAGAGGUGAAAUUCGUAGAUAUUCGGAGGAACACCAGUGGCGAAGGCGGCUCACUGGUCCAUUACUGACGCUGAGGUGCGAAAGCGUGGGGAGCAAACAGGAUUAGAUACCCCUGUAGUCCCUGUCUCUUAUAC